GCCGUUUCGUCUUCUCUGCUCUACGAAACUCAGCCCCUUCAUAUGGUUUGUUUUUCUAGUUCGCUCGGUGGCUGCUGGUUCAUCAGGUAGAAUUGUGAUUGGAUUAUAUGGUUAGGUUGUACCAAAAACUGUUGGUACGUGUUCAUUUCAUGUUGGUUUGUUUGUGACAAAUGAAAUGGCAAGAGAGCUGGGAAAUAUUCUUCUUCUACAGGCCAAAAGUUAACAAAGAGGAAGCUCACAGCCCAGAUGAUGUUCUAGUGAAAAAGGUGCAAAGAAGAAGGGAUCAAAUUCUAGUGAAAAAGGUUCUAGCGGUAGUCAAAGUAGUGAAGGUGGGCAUGGUAGGCAGGAAGUGAACAUUGAGAACCAACCAUUGCUGAGGUUCAUAGUGAUGGGAAGGAAAUCCUAUACUAUGAAAAAUUAUGUAUUAUUUUUCCCCAAAAAUCUUUUUUAUAUGACCCAAAAUUCUAUGAAGUUUGUAUGAGGUUCUGCAUUAUUAA